UGAUACAUUGUGCCCGUUUGUGAGAGCACUCGGCGCAGCAUUUGGAUACUGUUUUUAAACAUGAAUACAGAAAAGGAGAAAGAAGAUAAUAUUUUAGCUGCGAGAGAAGGAGAGACACCCUUAGUAUGGCCGAGCUAUGAACCUAGAAACUCGGAUGGAGCCUUCUGAACAGCGCCCUGCAAACCUUCAAGAUGAACCCCGUUAUUCGCAAGUUCAAGGCAAAAGAGAGUGGUCUCACGCCGAUCUAUAUGGCUCGUCACCUGAAAUGACAGUUUCUGUUCUCGGCAGAGAUCAUGGGUGUCUGGACGAACGUGAACGAGAACAAGGGGUACGUGCAGCUUUGCGUUGUGCCACACGGUGAGCACUUUGUCAGAUCGCCCUCCAGGGCACUGACCUUUGACCUCCAGCACGUGUUUAUAUCUAGUGAUUGAUCGGAUAAAUAGUGAUGAGUCACUCCUCUGAGUGUGUUUACGUUACAGAGUCACGCAAGGAAGGGAAGGAGCGCCAUGGUCUGCUAAAGUCAGAAGAGGGAGAGAAAGUGAGAGCGAGACAGGGAGGGAAAUCUAUUUCUCUCUCUCUCUCUUUGUGUGUCUCUCUCUCGCUCUCUGUGUAUUGUGUGUGUGAGUGUGUAUAUGUGUGUGUGUGUGUGUGUGUGUGUCAUAACAGUGCUAAAAUUAGAAAACCUUGGCGAAUGUCCUGUACCUGCAGGUUGAAUCACUGCUGCUGUAUUGUCUCUGCAGAAAAGGCUGGAGACGCAGAGCUGCAAUAAAAACGAUAACAGUUCAUUUCCAAAACUGCACAAGUGAAACUGUAGAGCACAAACAAUGACAUAAUCUGAGUUUCAUCAGAGAUUAAAUCUAACAAUGCAAAUGUCACAUAUUCUGUACAGUUUGUUUGAAUCUACUGAACCAAUUUAUUUAUAUUCUCUCUUGAGACUAAUUGUCUACGUUGAUGUAAUUCUAGUAAUUUUGAGCUGAACCAAGUGCAAGGAUAUCUUUAUUUUCAACAGUACAUAUGUUCCUAUUUGUGGUUCUCUGUCACUUUUUUUGAUUUGAUGCAUUAUUUGAAAAUGAAAUGAAAUAAAAGAAACUUCAUAGGACAUGUCCUGUUCUUUAUAUGAACGUAACAUCACUGUAAAAUUCAAAUAUUACUCAUGCACUUAACUAGCACACUCUACUGUGACAGGCUCUUUCGUGUUCCCAAAAUAUUUUUGUAGAGUGUAUUCUGCCGUUGCAACUGAAGCAAGCAAGCCGCCUUCCUUCUCUAUGAUUAAAAAGCAAUAUCCUACCCCAGUCUCCGGCACUUUUUGGAAUUUCACAAUUGUUGUUUUUGUAUUGCCGCCUAAGUUUGCUCAACCCUGUAAAUAAAAUGCAUGCAGUCA